AACAGGAUUAGAUACCCUGGUAGUCCACGCCCUAAACGAUGUCAACUGGUUGUUGGGAGGGUUUCUUCUCAGUAACGUAGCUAACGCGUGAAGUUGACCGCCUGGGGAGUACGGCCGCAAGGUUGAAACUCAAAGGAAUUGACGGGGACCCGCACAAGCGGUGGAUGAUGUGGUUUAAUUCGAUGCAACGCGAAAAACCUUACCUACCCUUGACAUGUCAGGAAUCUUGCAGAGAUGUGAGAGUGCUCGAAAGAGAACCUGGACACAGGUGCUGCAUGGCCGUCGUCAGCUCGUGUCGUGAGAUGUUGGGUUAAGUCCCGCAACGAGCGCAACCCUUGUCAUUAGUUGCUACGAAAGGGCACUCUAAUGAGACUGCCGGUGACAAACCGGAGGAAGGUGGGGAUGACGUCAGGUCAUCAUGGCCCUUAUGGGUAGGGCUACACACGUCAUACAAUGGCCGGGACAGAGGGCUGCCAACCCGCGAGGGGGAGCUAAUCCCAGAAACCCGGUCGUAGUCCGGAUCGCAGUCUGCAACUCGACUGCGUGAAGUCGGAAUCGCUAGUAAUCGCGGAUCAGCUUGCCGCGGUGAAUACGUUCCCGGGUCUUGUACACACCGCCCGUCACACCAUGGGAGCGGGUUCUGCCAGAAGUAGUUAGCCUAACCGCAAGGAGGGCGAUUACCACGGCAGGGUUCGUGACUGGGGUGAAGUCGUAACAAGGUAACC
rnacentral:rRNA from 1 species